GUGUGUUAUAAAGACAAAAUUGUGAGGUAUAAAUGCAAUUCUGAGAUAUAAAUUCAGAACUGUGAGACAUAAACUCACAAUUGUAAGAAAAUAGCUUUUUUUUGGACUUUGUAACUCACAAUUGCAAGUUUAUAUCACAAUUCCGACUUCUUUUCUCAGAAUUGUGAGAGAUAAACUCACAAUUGUAAGAAAUGUCACAAUUGCAAGAUGUAAACUUUUACUUUUAUUAAUUUUUUUUUAUAUUCAGUGGCGGAAACGGAUGUUGAUACGAUAAGUGAUAUUGCAUAAAGAUGCUUUUGGUUGAGAAAGACUUAAGACUGGUUUGUUUAUUGAGGGUUUGAGUUUAUUGAGUCUUAAAAGGAAAGUGAUAAAAACGUGAAAAAAACAUAUUUGGACUACUGCAGUGAAAAAAAAAAAAAAGACUUCAUAUAAUACACAAAGAAGUGAAGAAAUGCAUGUGAACUCCAGCUGCUCUGAUCUGAUGAUAAUGAAGGGCGUUGAGACUGUUGUGUGGUUGUGGGCACACAAUGAGAGCAUGUAUUGUUUUCAUGUAUUUAUGAGAUUCUAAACACUAUUAAAGCUGCAAUGUGUCAUUUCUGCCACUAAAAUAUGCCCCAGACUCACACCAUUGGCUAAGCUGAUGCUUUAAUGUUGGGUUCAAUCAUGCUGCUCAAAUAAACAGUUUGCAUUCCAGUUUGAUGCUGUGUGAUUAAACACUUCAUCUUUACCAGCAACAAACUAUAAUUCUACAUUUUCUCCAUGCUUAUGCAUAAAAACACUGCCACAAAAAAGUCACUGUUUUUAGUGCAUUUUUAUGUGGUUUUGAAGUUGUUCUGGGUGGUGACGACAGGGCAUCAGAUGGUUGCUAUGCAUUUGCAUAAGUGGCUAUAGGGUUUUCUGAUUGGUUGUUAGGGUGUUGCUAUGCAUUUGAUAUGGUAUUCUAUAGUAGGUGGUUGCUAGGGCAUUUUUAGGCAUUGCUACAGUUUUAAGGUGGUUGCUAGGGUAUUACCUUGCAGUUGCUAGGGUAUUCAAAUGGUUGCUAGGGUCUUCUGGGUGAUUGCUGGGGUGUUGCUAUGCAUUUGCUAUGAUAUUCUAUAUUAGGUGGUUGCUAGGGCGUUUUUAGGCAUUGCUACAGUUUUGUGGUGGUUGCUAGAUAUUUUCUUUGCAGUUGCCAGGGUAUUCGAAGCAGUUGUUAUGGUGUUGCUGUGUGGUUGCUGGGGAAUUCU
ensembl:lncRNA